CCUACGGGGGGCUGCAGUGGGGAAUAUUGGACAAUGGGGGCAACCCUGAUCCAGCCAUGCCGCGUGUGUGAAGAAGGCCCUCGGGUUGUAAAGCACUUUCAGUGAGGAAGAACGCCUGGUGGUUAAUACCCAUCAGGAAAGACAUCACUCACAGAAGAAGCACCGGCUAACUCCGUGCCAGCAGCCGCGGUAAUACGGAGGGUGCGAGCGUUAAUCGGAAUUACUGGGCGUAAAGCGCGCGUAGGUGGCUUGAUAAGCCGGUUGUGAAAGCCCCGGGCUCAACCUGGGAACGGCAUCCGGAACUGUCAAGCUAGAGUGCAGGAGAGGAAGGUAGAAUUCCCGGUGUAGCGGUGAAAUGCGUAGAGAUCGGGAGGAAUACCAGUGGCGAAGGCGGCCUUCUGGACUGACACUGACACUGUGGUGCGAAAGCGUGGGUAGCAAACAGGAUUAGAUACCCUAGUAGUC
rnacentral:rRNA from 1 species